rnacentral:lncRNA from 1 species
GGUUUCCAAAAUGCCUUUCCAGGCUAGAACCCAAGUCUGUGAUCUGCUGGCCGGACACAACAACAGAAACUGCAUGAGGAAGGAUCAGACUUCCUUUGUUUAGGGGUUGGAAAUGUCUCCUGACAAAUAACAGUGAAAAGUGUACUUGGAAGGCGUAUUCUAGACACAACUGACUAAGCUGGGAGCUUAAGACCAAGAGAAGAAAGGUGCAUAGAGCCUCUGGAUCAUGAAGACCCAGAGAAGGUCUAUGCAUAGAGCCUCUGCAUCCUGCUUUUUGUGUCUGUUGAUGUGAGCUGCAGUUUUCCUAUCCAUCCAUGGCUACUCCAUGCUCCCCUGCAAAUAGAGCCUGGUGAAGAGAGCCCCACAUAAGGCACAAACAAAAGGGCCCAGGAGAAAGGCAGUAGAACUGGAAGCAGGCUGACUUAUUAUACAAUAUGGCAACAAUCGUCUCUCACAGGAAAGGAAUAUCAUUAACUGACACGAUUGAGACCAGACACUGUCAAUUCGACAUACAGGGUUUAGAAAAUUGUUCCCAUGAAAAUCCUGAAGGAGACUGAGUUCAGCAAAGCAAACAGGAAGUGAAGUUCAGUUUGUGGAAAGCCCAGGAAACAGCAACACGUCACUGAAUAAUGUGCCCUCUGCUGAAGAGUCUUGGAUAAUGGGAAUGUGGUGUGCUAGUAAUCCAACCAAAUUUCUACAUGGAUAGUAUUUUCCCCUACAUGUUCUAUAGGCUUUCAUGCUAUGUAAAAUAAACC